CCUACGGGGGGCAGCAGUCGGGAAUAUUGCGCAAUGGAGGAAACUCUGACGCAGCGACGCCGCGUAAAGGAAGAAGGUUUUCGGAUUGUAAACUAUUGUUGUUAGGGAAGAAAAAAGACUGUACCUAAGGAGGAAGCCCCGGCUAACUACGUGCCAGCAGCCGCGGUAAUACCUAGGGGGCAAGCGUUAUCCGGAUUUAUUGGGUUUAAAGGGUGCGUAGAGGGAAGAACAAGGUGGUUGUGAAAUCCCUCGGCUCAACUGAGGAACUGCAACCAAUACUAUUCUUCUUGAGUGUCGGAGAGGAAAGUGGAAUUCCUAGUGUAGCGGUGAAAUGCGUAGAUAUUAGGAGGAACACCAGUGGCGAAGGCGACUUUCUGGACGAUAACUGACGUUGAGGCACGAAAGUGUGGGGAGCAAACAGGAUUAGAUACCCGGGUAGUC
rnacentral:rRNA from 1 species